UGCCAGACUCCUACGGGAGGCAGCAGUAGGGAAUAUUGCUCAAUGGGGGAAACCCUGAUGCAGCGACGCCGCGUGUGGGAAGACGGUCCUCUGGAUUGUAAACCACUGUCCCCAGGGACGAAGAUGACGGUACCUGGGGAGGAAGCUCCGGCUAACUCCGUGCCAGCAGCCGCGGUAAUACGGAGGAUGCGAGCGUUAUCCGGAUUCAUUGGGUUUAAAGGGUGCGCAGGCGGGCCUUUAAGCCGGCGGUGAAUUCGGGGGGCUCACCCCCGCCGAGCCGUCGGAACUGGGGGCCUUGAGUGCGGCGGAGGCAUGCGGAAUGCGCGGUGUAGCGGUGAAAUGCAUAGAUAUCGCGCAGAACCCCGAUUGCGAAGGCAGCGUACCGGCUCCACACUGACGCUGAGGCACGAAAGCGUGGGUAUCGAACAGGAUUAGAUACCCGAGUA
rnacentral:rRNA from 1 species